AUACUUAACCUGGCAGUGGAGAUAUCAGGAUCAUGAAGGUGGUUUUCCCAGGAUGAAGCUCAUUCAUUGCACACAGGGUGUCCUGACCCCGUGAUUUCUCCAAAUGCAGGAAUUCAACUACAUAAUUUGUGGUAGUGGGGAACAGCAUUCAUGCUUUCCCCUG